GCUGGGCAUGGUGGCCUACACCUGUAAUCCCAGCAGCUCAGGAGGCUGAGGCAAGAGGAUUGUGAGUUCAAAGCCAGCCUCAGCCACAGUGAGGCACUAUGCGACUCUGUGAGACCCUGUCUCUA
rnacentral:sRNA from 1 species